rnacentral:misc_RNA from 1 species
UGUGACUGUGCCUGCGACUUGGCAUGCAUGCGAUGCUGAGACUGCAUUUGCUCAAACUGUUGAAGCCUUGAACCAAAAUUAAUUCCAUUAUGCAAACAAGAAUUCCCAACCUCCUGGUUUACAUCACCAUCCUCAGAUAUUUGUGAUCCACUAGGAAUGUGAUGUAGAAUUUGGGAGUAGGGGUUGCCUGAAGAUGUUCGCUUAAUUUGCUCACCAUUGAAGGAAUAUGAAGGGACAGUUUUUAAACGAGUCCGUAAUA